UGGGGAAUAUUGCACAAUGGACGGAAGUCUGAUGCAGCAACGCCGCGUGCGGGAUGACGGCCUUCGGGUUGUAAACCGCUUUUUCUCAUGACGAAGUUUUUUGACGGUAGUGGGGGAAGAAGCACCGGCUAACUACGUGCCAGCAGCCGCGGUGAUACGUAGGGUGCGAGCGUUGUCCGGAAUUAUUGGGCGUAAAGAGCUUGUAGGCGGUUUGUCGCGUCGAUAGUGCAAACUCAGUGCUUAACGCUGAGCCUGCUGUUGAUACGGGCAGACUAGAGGAAGGUAGGGGAGAAUGGAAUUCCCGGUGGAGCGGUGGAAUGCGCAGAUAUCGGGAGGAACACCGGUGGCGAAGGCUGUUCUCUGGGCCUUUCCUGACGCUGAGAAGCGAAAGCGUGGGGAGCGAACAGG
rnacentral:rRNA from 1 species